rnacentral:rRNA from 1 species
UACGGGGGGAGCAAGCGUUGUUCGGAUUUACUGGGCGUAAAGGGCGCGUAGGCGGUCGUGACAAGUCACUUGUGAAAUCUCCGGGCUUAACUCGGAACGGUCAAGUGAUACUGUCGGACUAGAGUACAGAAGGGGCAACUGGAAUUCUCGGUGUAGCGGUGAAAUGCGUAGAUAUCGAGAGGAACACCUGCGGCGAAGGCGGGUUGCUGGGCUGAUACUGACGCUGAGGCGCGAAAGCCGGGGAGCGAACGGG